UUUUGACUAUACAAAGGUAUUGAAAUAAGAUUUUAAUUGAAUGCUAAGAGAAUGGAAUUUCAGAAAAAAACUUUUUUCAAGUUAAAAAUUGAAAUUUUUUUAAUUUGUGCAGAAACAAUUAUUAAUAUUAAGGACAAGAAGACCCUAUGAAUUUAUAAAUUUUAUUUAAUAUGUUACUACUAUUAAAAAAAUUUUAGCUGGGGCGGCGGAAAAAUAUUUAAAACUUUUUUAAAAUAAAAUGACCCAUUAUUAAUGAUUAUAUGUUAAAUACUCUAGGGAUAACAGCGUU
rnacentral:rRNA from 1 species